UUGCUUCAUUUUUCCAAAAUAUUUUAUUAUAAUAAUAAUAAAAUAAGAAAUAAUGGGUAGUUGUGUCUCCCCACAUCAAAAUUUAAAUUUUUUUAUUUUAUUAAAAUGAUUGAUUUGGAUGUGAGAUGUGACAACUCUCACACACACUACUCAAUAAAGCUAACCCUCUCAUCAACUUUAUCUAUUUAUUUAUAUUUUUCACUCUAAACAAAAACCAUAACCAUGUUACAAUUCUUUUUCACCUUUCUCUGCAAUCCCUUUGACUCUCUACAUCCCUCCCCCAAGAAACCUCAACCUCUUUGUUGAAACCAUGGAAGAUGCUCUCAGAGAGUCCAAACCUUACACUGAUAGACUCUUCUCUAGAGCUCGCCGUGUAUGGUCAUGGAUCUUAUCUUGGGUUCUUUGUGGACCAAGAAGAAGAACAAGAUUUUAUGGUUUUUCCCCGGUGUUUUCAUGAUUCUGGUGUUGAUUUGUCCGUCCCCAACCACGAAGGAAGUGCCGUUUGUGCUAUGUUACUGUUAACAGUAUAAAAGUAAAUAUUUUAGGUCUGGACAGUAUAAAAGAAAAAAAAAAGGCUUGGACAGUAAAAAAGAAAUAAUUGCCGUGUGGCAGUAUUAUUGUAAAAUUUGGAAGUUUCCCUAUUAGUAUCUAUUAGGGUUAGCCCAAACAUUUUGGGGCCUUGAGCAAGAGUUUAAAAUUAAGCUCUUUAUACAAGAAAGGAAAAAAAAAAUUGUGUGCAUUGACUACAAUUUUUUUAUUAAUUUGUUUUUUAAGAUAAGUUCUAAACUUUCAGUUAUAAAUUUUUUAUUUAUGUGUAUAAUAAAAAAAUUAAAAAAAUAUAUAUUUUUUUAAAAAAAAAUGAGCUUUAAAAAUAAAAAAAAAAUUAUAAUGGUCUAAGCUAUUUAAUACUUGGACUGGCCCUAAUAUCUAAUCGCAUAAACAACAAUCUAUGAUCAAAUGUAAUAAUAUAAUUCGGGAGAAUUUUUGUAAAAAUAAAAAUUAAAAAAGAAUUAAAGGGAAUUUUUGCCAAUUUAAACACAAAGGAAAACAAAAUUAGGGAACUUA